rnacentral:rRNA from 1 species
ACGGCUCAGUAACACGUGGGUAACCUGCCUUACACAGGGGGAUAGCCUUCCGAAAGGAAGAUUAAUACCGCAUAAGAAGUAAUUACCGCAUGGUAGAAGCUUUAAAGGAGCAAUCCGGUGUAAGAUGGACCCGCGGCGCAUUAGCUAGUUGGUGAGGUAACGGCUCACCAAGGCAACGAUGCGUAGCCGACCUGAGAGGGUGAUCGGCCACAUUGGAACUGAGAGACGGUCCAGACUCCUACGGGAGGCAGCAGUGGGGAAUAUUGCACAAUGGAGGAAACUCUGAUGCAGCAACGCCGCGUGAGUGACGAAGGCCUUCGGGUUGUAAAGCUCUGUCAUCUGGGACGAUAAUGACGGUACCAGAGGAGGAAGCCACGGCUAACUACGUGCCAGCAGCCGCGGUAAUACGUAGGUGGCGAGCGUUGUCCGGAAUUACUGGGCGUAAAGGAUGCGUAGGUGGGAAUUUAAGUCAGAUGUGAAAUACCCGAGCUUAACUUGGGCACUGCAUUUGAAACUGAAUUUCUUGAGUGCAGGAGAGGAAAGCGGAAUUCCUAGUGUAGCGGUGAAAUGCGUAGAGAUUAGGAAGAACACCAGUGGCGAAGGCGGCUUUCUGGACUGUAACUGACACUGAGGCAUGAAAGCGUGGGGAGCAAACAGGAUUAGAUACCCUGGUAGUCCACGCUGUAAACGAUGGGUACUAGGUGUGGGAGGUAUCGACUCCUUCCGUGCCGCAGUUAACACAAUAAGUACCCCGCCUGGGGAGUACGAUCGCAAGAUUAAAACUCAAAGGAAUUGGCGGGGGAGCAC